UUGAUCCUGCCGGAGGUUACUGCUAUCGAGGUUCGACUAAGCCAUGCGAGUCGAAUGUAGCAAUACAUGGCGUACUGCUCAGUAACACGUGGACAACCUACCCUUAGGCCGGGGAUAAACCCGGGAAACUGGGUAUAAUACCCGAUAGUCCUCGACUGCUGGAAUGCAUCGAGGACUAAAGCUCCGGCGCCUAAGGAUGGGUCUGCGGCCUAUCAGGUAGUAGUGGGUGUAGCGUACCUACUAGCCUACGACGGGUACGGGUUGUGAGAGCAAGAGCCCGGAGAUGGAUUCUGAGACACGAAUCCAGGCCCUACGGGGUGCAGCAGGCGCGAAAACUUUACAAUGCUGGAAACAGCGAUAAGGGGACCUCGAGUGCCAGGUUACAAAUCUGGCUGUCGUGAUGCCUAAAAAGCAUUGCAUAGCAAGGGCCGGGCAAGACCGGUGCCAGCCGCCGCGGUAACACCGGCGGCUCGAGUGGUAACCGUUAUUAUUGGGUCUAAAGGGUCUGUAGCCGGCCGGAUAAGUCUCUUGGGAAAUCUGGCAGCUUAACUGUCAGGCUUUCAGGAGAUACUGUCUGGCUCGAGGCCGGGAGAGGUGAGAGGUACUUCAGGGGUAGGGGUGAAAUCUUGUAAUCCUUGAAGGACCACCAGUGGCGAAGGCGUCUCACCAGAACGGACCUGACGGCAAGGGACGAAAGCUAGGGGCACGAACCGGAUUAGAUACCCGGGUAGUCCUAGCCGUAAACGAUACUCGCUAGGUGUCGGCCACGGUGCGACCGUUGUCGGUGCCGUAGGGAAGCCGUGAAGCGAGCCACCUGGGAAGUACGGCCGCAAGGCUGAAACUUAAAGGAAUUGGCGGGGGAGCACCACAACGGGUGGAGCUUGCGGUUUAAUUGGAUUCAACGCCGGAAA
rnacentral:rRNA from 1 species